UACGGAGGGUGCAAGCGUUAUCCGGAUUCACUGGGCUUAAAGGGCGCGUAGGCGGGCGAUCAAGUCCGGGGUGAAAUCUUUCGGCUUAACCGGAAAAGUGCCUUGGAGACUGGUCGUCUAGAGGGAGGUAGGGGCAUGUGGAACUUCCGGUGGAGCGGUGAAAUGCGCAGAUAUCAGGAAGAACACCAAUGGCGAAAGCAGCUCUCUGGGACGGUACUGACGCUGAGACGCGAAAGCGUGGGGAGCGAACAGG
rnacentral:rRNA from 1 species